rnacentral:rRNA from 1 species
GAUGAACGCUAGCGGGAGGCCUAACACAUGCAAGCCGAGCGGUAGAGAUUCUUCGGAAUCUUGAGAGCGGCGUACGGGUGCGUAACACGUGUGCAACCUGCCUUUAUCUGGGAGAUAGCCUUUCGAAAGGAAGAUUAAUAUCCCAUAAUAUAUUGAUUGGCAUCGAUUGAUAUUGAAAGCUCCGGCGGAUAAAGAUGGGCACGCGCAAGAUUAGAUAGUUGGUGAGGUAACGGCUCACCAAGUCGAUGAUCUUUAGGGGGCCUGAGAGGGUGAUCCCCCACACUGGUACUGAGACACGGACCAGACUCCUACGGGAGGCAGCAGUGAGGAAUAUUGGACAAUGGGUGGAAGCCUGAUCCAGCCAUCCCGCGUGAAGGAAUAAGGGCCUAUGGCUUGUAAACUUCUUUUGUACAGGGAUAAACCUACCCUCGUGAGGGUAGCUGAAGGUACUGUACGAAUAAGCACCGGCUAACUCCGUGC